AAUGAAACUUGGCAUAGAUGCUGCUAAUUGCUGCAGUCAGCAUAUAUGUUGAAGUUGGUUGG
rnacentral:pre_miRNA from 1 species